rnacentral:rRNA from 1 species
AUUGACCGCUGGCGGCAGGCCUAACACAUGCAAUUCGAACGAGUGGCGGACGGGUGAUUAAUGUCUGGGAAACUUCCUGAUGGAGGGGGAUAACUACUGGAAACGGUAGCUAAUAUCGCAUACCAUCAGAUGUGCCCAGAUUGGAUUUGCUUGUUGGUGGGGUAACGGCUCACCAAGGCGCCUAUCACUAGCUGGUCUGCGAGGAUGACCAGCCACCAUGGAACUGGUAAACGUUCCAUACGCCAACGGACGGCAGCAGUGGGGAAUGUGGCACAAUGGGCUCAGGCCUUAUGCGACCAUGCCGGUUGUAUGACGAAGGCCUUCGGGUUGUAAAGUACUUUCAGCUGGGAGGCUUUACCCGCAGGAAAGGCACCGGCUAACUCCGUGCCAGCAGCCGCGGUAAUUC